UACGUAGGGUGCAAGCGUUAAUCGGAAUUACUGGGCGUAAAGCGCGUGUAGGCGGCUAAGUAAGUCGGGCGUGAAAUCCCACGGCUCAACCGUGGAAGUGCACUCGAAACUGCAUAGCUAGAGUCCUGGAGAGGAAGGUGGAAUGCUUGGUGUAGAGGUGAAAUUCGUAGAUAUCAAGCGGAACACCGGUGGCGAAGGCGGCCUUCUGGACAGUGACUGACGCUGAGACGCGAAAGCGUGGGGAGCAAACAGG
rnacentral:rRNA from 1 species